UAUUCCUCUCAUUCUGAUAUUGCUCUAUAGCCUAACAAGGCCUACAAUACAGGGGAGAAUUAGAAAAAAUCGGGAUAAAAUCUCGAGAGCUCUUGAGAAAAUACUACUGCAGGACUCGGAGAUGCUGUUUCUCCUGCACACGGAGACAAAGGGGGGAUGAGGAGGUGAUAUGGCUGGCGAGUUGUGUACGCUGGCGUUGGUGGCUCAGUCAGUCAGUCAGUCAAUACUUCACCAACAUCUUCAAAUCUUGAACAUCCAAUAAUAGUCGUGUUCAAACCCAAAGCCAAAUCUUUAACAAGCACAGCAGAAAAAGCACUUUUUCUCUUUCGUGAACAGCGUAGAGAUUCUUCGUAUGGAUAGAAUUCGAGAAGUGAAAUGCAAUUCAAAUCUUUCAGAAACAAACCACAAACAACUGAAGAGAGAGAGAUUCCAACUUCAAACUCGUCACGUGUACACCAUGUCGACUUGUCACUUUGGAAAGGACUUGAAAUUCUACAGAAAUAAGACAAAUUGGAUAUCAGAGCUAGGAGAAAGAAGCAGGGUAAAUGAAUGAUGCUGAUGUGGUAGAAAAUGCAGCAGGGUUGCUAUAAAUCUAGUACUUGCAAUGUAACAAUAACGCAGUAUUUGAUUUUAGAAAUUCCAUCAUCCCGCAAUAAAUUGUUGUUGGUUUGUGUGUGAACACGAGUUGGUAGGUUCAAGGAAGUGAAGCAAGAUUGGAUCAUUACGAGAAAUCAGAGAGAGAGAGAACGAGGACCCGGACAAAAGAGCGUGUUCAAGUGGUCACAACUCUCAACUUCUCCAAUCCCAACUACUCAACUAACCAAGCUGAACAAAAUUCGCCUUCCAAAACCUCCACGCUUUCAACGCAACCACAGCCGGGCUGAGUCAGUCAAGGCAGAUGAACCUUCAACUUCGACAAGUACAAGGAAAACGCGGAACGCUGCAAAGUAAAAUUACACCAGUUAACUUAUUACUGGGGCUAACUUUCAGUAGAAACUCAGUCAGUGAUGAGCUAGACUGACGCACGACACUUGAGAUCCGGAUGAUCGAAUUGGAUUGAGGAUUUUGAAACAAAUUGUACACUCAUUACCAUAUUUUAUUUUUUAUGCAAAAUAGGAGUUCUUACCAAGCCAUGUUUAGCGGCAGUGCAUUUAUAAUUUAUUUAAAUAGUUCAAGAUGAAUGCAUAUGAAACUCGGAUAAAUUUUAUCUAUUAUGAUAUUGGUUAUUUUAAAGAAAUUGUAAAAUCCUCUGAAUAACGACAUGAAGCCAUCAUAUUCGCAAUUACUUUUACAUAGCACCCAUUUUCUGGUAGUCACAGUUUAAUGUUUCUUGGUGAAUUAUAUUUAAUUAUUCUCAUCCGUCCAUGAUUCAUAUUUCCACUAAACGUAAC